rnacentral:lncRNA from 1 species
CCCGCCCAGGCCUAGAGAGGAGAAUGGCACCGCCCAGUCCCGGCAGCCCCACCCACACGAACUGAAGGCGUGGGGCCCCUGGAGCCGAGGCGCUAGCCCCGGGUCGCUGCGGGGGCUCGUUUGGCCUCUCGCGGCCUCCGUAUUCGCCGAAAGCCGAGACCGUUGGAAAGAUCAGAGAUUUAUGCCGUUGGGAGAAAGUUCCGGGGGUCCCACGGAGCGAUUGACGUUGCAAAUUUGAAGUAGAUGGGAAAGAAGAGGGCAGAAGAGACAAGCAAGAGGAAGAAAUCAUGAGCUUGGAGUCUAACAGAACUGACUGAUGGCCAGGUUGUCAGCAACAUGCAAUAGAAGCAGCUGUGUCAGCAGAGGCAGACGCAGAUGCAGACAGAGAAGAGAUGCAGAAGAAGCAGCAACAAAAGAAGGAGCAAAAGAAGAGGAAGACACAGAAGUAGAACAAGAAGCAGAGGCAGAAGCAGCAGCAGAACAAGUGAAAAGCAACAGCAGAACAAGAAGCAGAAAAGGAAGCAGCAGCAGUCAGAAG